GGGUUGUGAGGUUAAGCGACUAAGCGUACACGGUGGAUGCCCUGGCAGUCAGAGGCGAUGAAGGACGUGCUAAUCUGCGAAAAGCGUCGGUAAGGUGAUAUGAACCGUUACAGCCGGCGAUGUCCGAAUGGGGAAACCCAGUGUGAUUCGUCACACUAUCGUUAACUGAAUACAUAGGUUAACGAGGCGAACCGGGGGAACUGAAACAUCUAAGUACCCCGAGGAAAAGAAAUCAACCGAGAUUCCCCCAGUAGCGGCGAGCGAACGGGGAGCAGCCCAGAGUCUGAAUCAGCUUGUGUGUUAGUGGAACGGUCUGGAAAGUCCGACGGUACAGGGUGAUAGUCCCGUACACCAAAAUGCACAGGCUGUGAACUCGAAGAGUAGGGCGGGACACGUGGUAUCCUGUCUGAAUAUGGGGGGACCAUCCUCCAAGGCUAAAUACUCCUGACUGACCGAUAGUGAACCAGUACCGUGAGGGAAAGGCGAAAAGAACCCCGGCGAGGGGAGUGAAAAAGAACCUGAAACCGUGUACGUACAAGCAGUGGGAGCACCUUCGGGUGUGACUGCGUACCUUUUGUAUAAUGGGUCAGCGACUUAUAUUCUGUAGCAAGGUUAACCGUAUAGGGGAGCCGCAGGGAAACCGAGUCUUAACUGGGCGUUAAGUUGCAGGGUAUAGACCCGAAACCCGGUGAUCUAGCCAUGGGCAGGUUGAAGGUUGGGUAACACUAACUGGAGGACCGAACCGACUAAUGUUGAAAAAUUAGCGGAUGACUUGUGGCUGGGGGUGAAAGGCCAAUCAAACCGGGAGAUAGCUGGUUCUCCCCGAAAGCUAUUUAGGUAGCGCCUCGUGAAUUCAUCUUCGGGGUAGAGCACUGUUUCGGCUAGGGGGUCAUCCCGACUUACCAACCCGAUGCAAACUACGAAUACCGAAGAAUGUUAUCACGGGAGACACACGGCGGGUGCUAACGUCCGUCGUGAAGAGGGAAACAACCCAGACCGCCAGCUAAGGUCCCAAAGUCAUGGUUAAGUGGGAAACGAUGUGGGAAGGCACAGACAGCCAGGAUGUUGGCUUAGAAGCAGCCAUCAUUUAAAGAAAGCGUAAUAGCUCACUGGUCGAGUCGGCCUGCGCGGAAGAUGUAACGGGGCUAAACCAUGCACCGAAGCUGCGGCAGCGACACUAUGUGUUGUUGGGUAGGGGAGCGUUCUGUAAGCCUGCGAAGGUGACCUGUGAGGGUUGCUGGAGGUAUCAGAAGUGCGAAUGCUGACAUAAGUAACGAUAAAGCGGGUGAAAAGCCCGCUCGCCGGAAGACCAAGGGUUCCUGUCCAACGUUAAUCGGGGCAGGGUGAGUCGACCCCUAAGGCGAGGCCGAAAGGCGUAGUCGAUGGGAAACAGGUUAAUAUUCCUGUACUUGGUGUUACUGCGAAGGGGGACGGAGAAGGCUAUGUUAGCCGGGCGACGGUUGUCCCGGUUUAAGCAUGUAGGCUGGUUAUCCAGGCAAAUCCGGAUAAUCAAGGCUGAGGUGUGAUGACGAGGCACUACGGUGCUGAAGUAACAAAUGCCCUGCUUCCAGGAAAAGCCUCUAAGCAUCAGGUAACAUCAAAUCGUACCCCAAACCGACACAGGUGGUCAGGUAGAGAAUACCAAGGCGCUUGAGAGAACUCGGGUGAAGGAACUAGGCAAAAUGGUGCCGUAACUUCGGGAGAAGGCACGCUGGUGUGUAGGUGAAGUCCCUGCGGAUGGAGCUGAGACCAGUCGAAGAUACCAGCUGGCUGCAACUGUUUAUUAAAAACACAGCACUGUGCAAACACGAAAGUGGACGUAUACGGUGUGACGCCUGCCCGGUGCCGGAAGGUUAAUUGAUGGGGUUAUCCGUAAGGAGAAGCUCUUGAUCGAAGCCCCGGUAAACGGCGGCCGUAACUAUAACGGUCCUAAGGUAGCGAAAUUCCUUGUCGGGUAAGUUCCGACCUGCACGAAUGGCGUAAUGAUGGCCAGGCUGUCUCCACCCGAGACUCAGUGAAAUUGAACUCGCUGUGAAGAUGCAGUGUACCCGCGGCAAGACGGAAAGACCCCGUGAACCUUUACUAUAGCUUGACACUGAACAUUGAGCCUUGAUGUGUAGGAUAGGUGGGAGGCUUUGAAGCGUGGACGCCAGUCUGCGUGGAGCCAACCUUGAAAUACCACCCUUUAAUGUUUGAUGUUCUAACGUUGGCCCCUUACCGGGGUUGCGGACAGUGUCUGGUGGGUAGUUUGACUGGGGCGGUCUCCUCCCAAAGCGUAACGGAGGAGCACGAAGGUUAGCUAAUCCUGGUCGGACAUCAGGAGGUUAGUGCAAUGGCAUAAGCUAGCUUGACUGCGAGCGUGACGGCGCGAGCAGGUGCGAAAGCAGGUCAUAGUGAUCCGGUGGUUCUGAAUGGAAGGGCCAUCGCUCAACGGAUAAAAGGUACUCCGGGGAUAACAGGCUGAUACCGCCCAAGAGUUCAUAUCGACGGCGGUGUUUGGCACCUCGAUGUCGGCUCAUCACAUCCUGGGGCUGAAGUAGGUCCCAAGGGUAUGGCUGUUCGCCAUUUAAAGUGGUACGCGAGCUGGGUUUAGAACGUCGUGAGACAGUUCGGUCCCUAUCUGCCGUGGGCGCUGGAGAAUUGAGGGGGGCUGCUCCUAGUACGAGAGGACCGGAGUGGACGCAUCACUGGUGUUCGGGUUGUCAUGCCAAUGGCACUGCCCGGUAGCUAAAUGCGGAAGAGAUAAGUGCUGAAAGCAUCUAAGCACGAAACUUGCCCCGAGAUGAGUUCUCCCUGAGACUUUAAGUCUCCUGAAGGAACGUUAAAGACGAUGACGUUGAUAGGCCGGGUGUGUAAGCGCAGCGAUGCGUUGAGCUAACCGGUACUAAUGAACCGUGAGGCUUAACCUUACAACGCCGAAG
rnacentral:rRNA from 1 species